rnacentral:lncRNA from 1 species
AGAGGCAUCACCAGCUCCUGAUGUCACCUCUCAGGCCAGGCCCUGAAGUAGACUUUUAAUUCUUUCGGGGGGGGGGGGUGCGAGACUAGGCAAGAAGCAGUACAUCUCUUGCCACCACAGAUCUAGAAAAGCCUGUUCUUGGACAGCCGGAGGAAGCUAGAAAAGCUCGGGAGUGGAUCCCAAUCUAACUGGGCUCCUCCGUCAAUGAGUCCAUCUGGUUUGGAAUAAACCCAGAGGCAGAGUUUAAACUGCAGGGCUUCCCGGUGGGCUGCAGUAAAGGCUAGACUGCACUUGAAACCCGCCUCACUCUUCUCCACACCCUGGACCCGCCCCUGGAGUUGCCCUUUGGAAGUAGUGCCUCGAUAUGGUAUACUUGGCUCCUCAAGACCGUUCCCUGGAGAGCCAGCAUCAAACAGGGGAACCUGAGUUCUAAGUGGAUGAACAGUUUUCCCUGAAUUGGAUCCUCAAGACCAGCCACAUGGAAUGAUCGCUGGAGGAUCCAGAGUGAAGGUUGCCUUCUAGAACUCUGUUACCUUGUCUUGUCUCUGUCGAAAUAGCAAUGUCAUUUGAACCCUUGGCUCUCUUCCUGACUAAAUAAUGAUUGCCUUUCCAUCC